rnacentral:rRNA from 1 species
AUUGAACGCUGGCGGCAGGCUUAACACAUGCAAGUCGAGCGGGGGAAGGUAGCUUGCUACCGGACCUAGCGGCGGACGGGUGAGUAAUGCUUAGGAAUCUGCCUAUUAGUGGGGGACAACAUCUCGAAAGGGAUGCUAAUACCGCAUACGUCCUACGGGAGAAAGCAGGGGAUCUUCGGACCUUGCGCUAAUAGAUGAGCCUAAGUCGGAUUAGCUAGUUGGUGGGGUAAAGGCCUACCAAGGCGACGAUCUGUAGCGGGUCUGAGAGGAUGAUCCGCCACACUGGGACCGAGACACGGCCCAGACUCCUACGGGAGGCAGCAGUGGGGAAUAUUGGACAAUGGGGGGAACCCUGAUCCAGCCAUGCCGCGUGUGUGAAGAAGGCCUUAUGGUUGUAAAGCACUUUAAGCGAGGAGGAGGCUACUUUAGUUAAUACCUAGAGAUAGUGGACAUUACUCGCAGAAUAAGCACCGGCUAACUCUGUGCCAGCCGCCGCCGUAA